GACGAACGCUGGCGGCGUGCUUAACACAUGCAAGUCGAACGGGAACCUUUAUUUCGGUAAAGGUGAGAGUGGCAAACGGGUGAGUAACACGUAGGCAACCUGCCGACAGGAUGGGGACAACAUUCCGAAAGGGAUGCUAAUACCGAAUGGAGUCCGGAGAUGGCAUCAUCUCCGGAUAAAAGAUGGCCUCUGAACAUGCUAUCGCCUGUCGAUGGGCCUGCGUCUGAUUAGCCAGUUGGCGGGGUAACGGCCCACCAAAGCGACGAUCAGUAGCCGGUCUGAGAGGAUGAACGGCCACAUUGGGACUGAGACACGGCCCAGACUCCUACGGGAGGCAGCAGUGGGGAAUCUUCCACAAUGGGCGAAAGCCUGAUGGAGCAACGCCGCGUGAGUGAAGAAGGUCUUCGGAUCGUAAAGCUCUGUUGCACGGGACGAAAACCGGGUUUGAGAAUAUUGAACUGGGUGACGGUACCGAGCGAGGAAGCCCG
rnacentral:rRNA from 1 species